CCUACGGGAGGCAGCAGUGGGGAAUAUUGCACAAUGGGCGCAAGCCUGAUGCAGCGACGCCGCGUGAGGGAUGACGGCCUUCGGGUUGUAAACCUCUUUCAGCAGGGAAGAAGCGCAAGUGACGGUACCUGCAGAAGAAGCGCCGGCUAACUACGUGCCAGCAGCCGCGGUAAUACGUAGGGCGCAAGCGUUGUCCGGAAUUAUUGGGCGUAAAGAGCUCGUAGGCGGUCUGUCGCGUCUGCUGUGAAAACCUCAGGCUCAACCUGGGGCUUGCAGUGGGUACGGGCAGACUAGAGUGCGGUAGGGGUGACUGGAAUUCCUGGUGUAGCGGUGGAAUGCGCAGAUAUCAGGAGGAACACCGAUGGCGAAGGCAGGUCACUGGGCCGCAACUGACGCUGAGGAGCGAAAGCAUGGGGAGCGAACAGGAUUAGAUACCCGGG
rnacentral:rRNA from 1 species